CGGGUGGUGCAACUGCAGCUGCUAAGUCUAAUGUAAAUGAAAGAUGAAUAAAGCGACAUGGGAGGUGGAAGACAGAUUUUGUCAAAGAUGGUUAUAUCAAAGAUACUUUAGAAAAGAGAAUUUCAGUCUCACAAAAAUUGGGUAUUUAAUAUAUAUAUUUUUUUUACUACACUCCAACCCUUUAUUUGGUAUUUCUAUGCUUG
rnacentral:lncRNA from 1 species